rnacentral:rRNA from 1 species
GAUGAACGCUGGCGGCGUGCCUAAUACAUGCAAGUCGAACGCAAUACUUCGGUAUUGAGUGGCGAACGGGUGAGUAAUACAUAAGCAACCUGGCCAUGACAGGGGGAUAACUGACGGAAACGACAGCUAAAACCGCAUAGGUAUAAACGAAGCAUUUUGUUUAUAUUAAAAAUGCUAAGGCAUUGGUGAUGGAUGGGCUUAUGGAGCAUUAGCUAGUUGGUGAGGUAGAGGCUCACCAAGGCGACGAUGCAUAGCCGGCCUGAGAGGGUGAACGGCCACACUGGGACUGAGACACGGCCCAGACUCCUACGGGAGGCAGCAGUAGGGAAUUUUCGGCAAUGGGGGGAACCCUGACCGAGCAACGCCGCGUGAAGGAAGAAGGAAUUCGUUUCGUAAACUUCUGUUAUAAAGGAAGAAAGGGAUGUGUAGGGAAUGAUACAUCUAAGACGGUGCUUUAUGAGGAAGCCACGGCUAACUACGUGCCAGCAGCCGCUGUAA